UGGUGAGAAUAGGACAAUGGACACACCUGUACCCAUACCGAACACAGAAGUUAAGCAUUAGUCCGCUGAUGGUACUUGGUUGGCAACGA
rnacentral:rRNA from 1 species